rnacentral:rRNA from 1 species
UCUGUAGGUGGAUAAUUAAGUCAGAGGUGAAAUCCUGCAGCGCAACUGUAGAAUUGCCUUUGAUACUGGUUAUCUUGAGUCAUUAUGAAGUGGUUAGAAUGUGUAGUGUAGCGGUGAAAUGCAUAGAUAUUACACAGAAUACCGAUUGCGAAGGCAGAUCACUAAUAAUGUACUGACACUGAGGGACGAAAGCGUGGGGAGCAAACAGGAUUAGAUACCCUGGUAGUCC